rnacentral:rRNA from 1 species
ACGGGAGGCAGCAGUGGGGAAUAUUGCACAAUGGGGGAAACCCUGAUGCAGCGACGCCGCGUGAGUGAAGAGGUAUUUCGGUAUGUAAAGCUCUAUCAGCAGGAAAGAAAAUGACGGUACCUGACUAAGAAGCCCCGGCUAACUACGUGCCAGCAGCCGCGGUAAUACGUAGGGGGCAAGCGUUAUCCGGAUUUACUGGGUGUAAGGGGUGCGUAGGCGGCAUGGUAAGUCAGUCGUUAAAGACCAGAGCUUAACUCUGGACCAGCGAUUGAAACUAUCAAGCUAGAGUACAGGAGAGGUUAGUAGAAUUACUAGUGUAGAGAUGGAAUUCAUAGAUAUUAGUAAGAACACCAAUGGCGAAGGCAGCUAACUGGCCUGAAACUGACGCUGAGGCACGAAAGUGUGGGGAGCAAACAGGAUUAGAUACCCUGGUA